GUGCUUGCUUUAGUAACACAUACUAAAACUGGAUGGACACAGAGAUUAACAUGGCCCCUGUGCAAGGGUGACACACAAAUCUGUGAAGUGUUCCCAUGUUUU
ensembl:snRNA U6 U6 spliceosomal RNA